UUUAAUUCGAAGCAACGCGCAGAACCUUACCAGCUCUUGACAUCCAAGACCGCCACAGAGACGUGGUUUUCCCUUCGGGGACUUGGAGACAGGUGCUGCAUGGCUGUCGUCAGCCCGUGUCGUGAGAUGUUGGGUUAAGUCCCGCAACGAGCGCAACCCUCGCCUCUAGUUGCCAGCAUUCCGUUGGGCACUCUAGAGGGACUGCCGGUGAUAAGCCGAGAGGAAGGUGGGGAUGACGUCAAGUCCUCAUGGCCCUUACGGGCUGGGCUACACACGUGCUACAAUGGCGGUGACAAUGGGCAGCGACUUCGCGAGGAGUAGCCAAUCCCAAAAAGCCGUCUCAGUUCGGAUUGCACUCUGCAACUCGAGUGCAUGAAGUUGGAAUCGCUAGUAAUCGCGUAACAGCAUGACC
rnacentral:rRNA from 1 species